rnacentral:tRNA from 1 species
CCGAUGGCUCAGUUGGUUAGAGCGCCGCCCUGUCACGGCGGAGGUCGAGGGUUCGAGUCCCUUUCG